GAAGAAGAAGACAGAGAUGUGAUGAUGGAAGCGGAGGUUGGAGUGAUGUGCAUUAAAGAUGGAGGAGGGGCUGCAAGCCAAGCCGUGCAGGCGGCCUCUAGAAGCUGGGAAAGGCAAGGAGACAGCUUCUUGCUUGGAGCCCCCGGGAGAAGCGCAGCCCUGCCGACACCUUGAUUUUAGACUUCUGGCCUCCGGAACCGCCGUGCCCGUCCCCUGCCCAUCAUGCCCUUCCAGCUGGCCUUUCAUCCCGCAGCGAACCUCUGUGUGUCCGGCUCAGAGUCUCCAUAAACCGCACCAUGGAGCUGGCCCGAAGAUGGCCUGACAGACGUGUGACCUGGCAUGGCUGGAUUCCACCCCGGUGGCGAAGUGUUAUUUCCUUUAAUGCACACAUAUACACACACAGCUGUCUGGAAGAAUUCCUGGGCCCAGCACGGAGCAAAAUUUCAAAAACACACAGAAGUCGAGAGGACCAGACACAGAUUCCAGCAUCCCCAGCCCUCGGCUUCAUCCCCGGCAACGUCUGGCAAUCUCGUUUUAUCACCUCCUGUGGGCUCCCUCUCUGGCUUUUUCCCCAUUUGGCUGGAGGAUUUGAAAGCAAAUUGCAGACAUCACGCCACGCACGCAUGUUGUUUUUUCAAAAACUUAAUUUUGAAAUAAUUAUAGAGUCGCAGGGAAUUGCGAAGACAGGACAGCGUGGUCCUGGGUACCCCUCACCCAGUUUCCCCCAGGGGUUACGCCUCACAUACCUAUGCGACAAUAUCAGAACCCCGAACUGACAUAGGUAGAGAGGGUGUGUGUGUGUAUAGUUCCACAGCAUCUCGUCACACAUGUGGCUUUAGUUCACCACCACCGCAAAGAUCUCCCCACGUCCCACCCGCCACCCUGCCCCCGUGACAGCCGCUAAUACUGUCUCCAUCUCUAUAACGUUGUCACUGGAGAACGUUGUGAAAAUGGAAUCACAUAGCAUGUGACCUUUGAAACUGACUCUUUUUCCAUGUAGCAUAAAGCCCUGAGAUUCGUCCCAAUUGUUUCGUGUAUCAGCACGUCAUUCCUUUUUAUGGCUGGGUAGUAAUCCACCAUGCGAAUGGAUCUCAGUCUGCUUAACCGUUCACCUCCUGAGGGGCUGUGUCCAGUUUGGGGCUGUUGUGAAUAAAGCUGCGACAGGCUUUUGUGUGGA
rnacentral:lncRNA from 1 species